CCUACGGGGAGCAGCAGUGAGGAAUAUUGGUCAAUGGCCGGGAGUCUGAACCAGCCAAGUCGCGUGAGGGAAGACGGCCCUACGGGUUGUAAACCUCUUUUGUCAGGGAGCAAGGUGCAGGUCGGGACCUUCUGUGAGAGUACCUGAAGAAAAAGCAUCGGCUAACUCCGUUCCAGCAGCCGCGGUAAUACGGAGGAUCCGGGCGUUAUCCGGAUUUAUUGGGUUUAAAGGGUGCGUAGGCGGCCUUUUAAGUGAACGGUGAAAGUCUGUGGCUCAACCAUAGAAUUGCCGUUGAAACUGGGAGGCUUGAGUAUGUUUGAGGCAGGCGGAAUGCGUGGUGUAGCGGUGAAAUGCUUAGAUAUCACGCAGAACCCCGAUUGCGAAGGCAGCCUGCCAAGCCAUGACUGACGCUGAUGCACGAAAGCGUGGGGAUCAAACAGGAUUAGAUACCCCAGUAGUC
rnacentral:rRNA from 1 species